rnacentral:rRNA from 1 species
CACGUAGGCGGAUUUGUUAGUCAGGGGUGAAAUCCCGGGGCUCAACCUCGGAACUGCCUUUGAUACUGCAAGUCUCGAGUCCGAUAGAGGUGGGUGGAAUUCCUAGUGUAGAGGUGAAAUUCGUAGAUAUUAGGAAGAACACCGGUGGCGAAGGCGGCCCACUGGAUCGGUACUGACGCUGAGGUGCGAAAGCGUGGGGAGAAC